rnacentral:rRNA from 1 species
AGGGAAUUUUCGGCAAUGGGGGAAACCCUGACCGAGCGACGCCGCGUGAACGAAGAAGGUCUUCGGAUCGUAAAGUUCUGUUACAAGGGAAGAACGACAGUAAGAGUGGAAAGCUUACUGUGUGACGGUACCUUGUGAGAAAGCCACGGCUAACUACGUGCCAGCAGCCGCGGUAAUACGUAGGUGGCGAGCGUUAUCCGGAAUUAUUGGGCGUAAAGAGUGAGCAGGCGGCAGUCAAAGUCUGGAGUUAAAACGUGUGGCUCAACCAUACGUUGCUUUGGAAACUAGACAGCUAGAGUGAAGGAGAGGUUAGCGGAAUUCCAUGUGUAGCGGUAAAAUGCGUAGAUAUAUGGAGGAACACCAGUGGCGAAGGCGGCUAACUGGCCUGUAACUGACGCUCAGUCACGAAAGCGUGGGGAGCAAAUA